rnacentral:rRNA from 1 species
GACGAACGCUGGCGGCGUGCUUAACACAUGCAAGUCGAACGGAAAGGCCCUGCUCUUGUGGGGUGCUCGAGUGGCGAACGGGUGAGUAACACGCGAGUAACCUGCCCCUGACUUUGGGAUAACUCCAGGAAACUGGGGCUCAUAUCGGAUAGGAGCUACUGCUGCACGGUGGGGGUUGGAAAGUUUCGGCGGUUGGGGAUGGAAGCGAGGCUUACCCGCUUGAUGGUGGGGUAGGUGCUUACCAAGGGUUUGACGGGUAGCCGGCCUGAGAGGGUGACCGGCCACAUUGGGACUAAGGUACGGCCCAGACUCCUACGGGAGGCAGCAGUGGGGAAUAUUACGCAAUGGGCGGAAGCCUGAUACAGCAACGCCGCGUGCGGGAUGACGGCCUUCGGGUUGUAAACCGCUUUGGCCUGUGACGAGGCGUGAGUGACGGUAAUGGGUAAAGAAGCACCGGCUAACUACGUG